GUAGCUCAGUGGUAGAGUACUUGCCUUGCAUGCAUGAGGCCCUGGGUUCGAUUCCUCAGC
rfam:Dipodomys ordii contig_2887, whole genome shotgun sequence.